CCUCUGAUGUCGUAAGGGAAAAUAAUGAUAAUACCUUACUAUGAGUGUCGUCCAAAUCUGGUGCCAGAAGACUCGGUAAGACCAGAGACGCAAACGUUAAUCAUCAUAAUCAGGCGUAAAGGGUUUGUAGGCAGCAUUCACCAGACUAUAAAUAAUAAAAUAAAGUAGUUUAAUUGAUUGCUAGAAUCAAAAAGAGGUUAUAGUGUAUAACGCCUAGAGGAGGGCUGAUAUCCAUAGAUCCUAGGCAGAAUACUAAGGGCGAAGGCCACUUUCCACUAAUGAUUGACGCUGAGAAACGAAGGUUAGGGUAGGAAAUAGGAUUAGAUACCCCGGUACUCCUUUCUGUAAACGAUGAAUGGUAGUCAUUAGUUAAAAAACUAGAGACGAAGUUAACACAAUAACCAUUCCGCCUUGUGAGUACUACUGCAAAGUA
rnacentral:rRNA from 2 species